rfam:Ipomoea nil DNA, scaffold: scaffold1317, cultivar: Tokyo-kokei standard.
GGGGGUGUAGCUCAUUUGGUAGAGCGCUCGCUUCGCAUGCGAGAGGCACGGGGUUCAAUUCCCUGCACCUCUA